rnacentral:snoRNA from 1 species
UUGGAUGAUGAACAUCAACGACACAGGGAUUCCUCAUGCCGAAAACACGAUGUGGAUUCAGUUGUUUUAGUUUCAGCCUUGUCUGACC